UGGGCCUUUCUUCCAUAUUUCCUGAUAACCCCCUGCAGAAAUAGACAAACACCAAAACUCGUGGAAUUCUGUCAGAUAAAACCCUAAGUCUAGAUCUUUAUUUUAUUUGGAUCCUUUUCUUUAUUUAUUUGAUAAUUAAAUUUGAUACUUAAGGACCGUCAACAAACUCCCCCAAGCUUACCUCUUGCUCAUCCCUGAGCAAGGAUAGACUCAGCUAUGGAUCAGAAGUUGCUGCAAUAUCUUUAAAAAUUUGACGGUACACAUGCUCUUAAAUAAGAUCUCAUCUCUGAGUUAGAGUAAACUGUCAAGACUUAAAACUUACUUACUUUACCUUCACUAUGGGACUUGUAACUGUCACUUCUGUCUUGAGUGGUUAAAAGAUAGAACAGUCUAGCCAAGUGUCAUGUCUCUUAUUCUUGAUCAGCUAUAGCUCUGGGAUUUUUGCAGAUUUUCAAAUAAAACUCAGAAUUCCUUGUAUGAUUCUCUCAGGUCUCUCUUUUGUGGUAUUUUUGGAUCCUUACCAAGGCAUUGAUGGUAUAUGCCUUCUCUCAAGAUAUGUGGUAUUUGUGGUAUGAGGCAUAGUAACAUUGCCUUCUCUCUCAUCCUACUCUAAUAAGGCUUUAAUAUCUGGAGCUCAUAGGUGGGAGAUAAAAUAUACAUACUUACAAGACAUGUAUUGCAUAGUCAAACCAUGGAUCCAAAGUAACAAGUCAAUAAGUUUAAUCAAGAUGUGCAUGUGUGGCGAAUGAAUGGUAUAUGGUGAUGAUGGUGAUAACAAUGGUGAAAACAAUGGUGGAAACAAUGGUGGUGAAAGUCUAAUUCUACUUUGCUCUUCUGAGGGGAUACAUACCUUCCUUGCUUUUGAAACUUUAUGAGGAGAAUGAGAUGCUCUUCUUUUUCUUUUCUCUCAGGUGGGUAUCUUGCACCCCUAAUUCUACUGUCGGACACUUGUCCAUUUUUACCUCUCGUCUCACUUUUUCUUUUCUUUCGAGGUUCCGAGCACUUGCUCCUUUUUAUUUCCUCGUAUUAUUUUCUUCUUCUUUUUUUUUUAGAGCAUUCAUCUCUUGAGAUAAUAUAGCAAGUGGUAGUAACAAGAUAACUUGAGCAUUUAUUUCACAAGGGGAAAAUAGAAAUAUUUUUGGUUAUUCUCUCCCGGAUUAGGAGUAGAAUAUUUUUAGGUGGUUCUGGAGAUGGAAAUGAGUGGAUGUAUGUGGAUGGUACUUCCGGAGUAGAAGUAGCAUAUAUGAGUGAACGUGCAAGUGAAAUCUUGAUUUAACCACAUGACAAGCUCCUAAGGGUCUACACAGCUUGACCAUACUCAAUGCUCAUAAGCAGUAAAUAGUAAAUGUGUGGCUCAAAGUCUAGCAAGCAUGUAUAUAUGGCUGUGG
rnacentral:lncRNA from 1 species